GGCCCAGUAGCUCAGCAGGUUAGAGCAGCGGACUCAUAAUCCGUCGGUCGCGGGUUCAAGCCCCGCCUGGGCCACCG
rnacentral:tRNA from 1 species